rnacentral:rRNA from 1 species
CAGGGAAUUUUGCGCAAUGGACGAAAGUCUGACGCAGCAACGCCGCGUGGGGGAAGAAGGCCUUCGGGUUGUAAACCUCUUUUCUCAGGGAAGAAUAAUGACGGUACCUGGGGAAUAAGUCUCGGCUAACUACGUGCCAGCAGCCGCGGUAAUACGUAGGAGGCGAGCGUUAUCCGGAAUUACUGGGCGUAAAGCGCGCGCAGGUGGCUUUUCAAGUCGGGUGUGAAAUCUUCCCGCUCAACGGGAAGAGGUCAUCCGAUACUGUUGGGCUAGAGGGCAGCAGAGGGAAACGGAAUUCCCGGUGUAGCGGUGAAAUGUGUAGAUAUCGGGAGGAACACCAGUGGCGAAGGCGGUUUCCUAGGCUGUUCCUGACACUGAGGCGCAAAAGCGUGGGGAGCGAACA